rnacentral:pre_miRNA from 8 species
UGUCCUUUUCAGGUCUUUUUGCGGUCUGGGCUUGCUGUUCCUUGAACCAGUAGCCAGGAAGCCCUUACCCCAAAAAGUAUCUGCAGAGGACC